rnacentral:rRNA from 1 species
ACGAACGUUGGCGGCGUGGAUUAGGCAUGCAAGUCGAACGAGAACCACUGGGAAACUGGUGGGGAAAGUGGCGAAAGGGGCAGUAAUGCGUGGGUAACGUACCCCCCGGACCGGGAUAGCCUCGGGAAACUGAGAGUAAUACCGGGAGACGUAACUGGGACACCUGUUCUGGUUACCAAAGGGUCCGCCGCCGGGGGAGCGGCUCACGUGGUAUUAGCUUGUUGGUGGGGUAACGGCCCACCAAGGCAAAGAUGCCUAGCAGGUGUGAGAGCACGACCUGCGCCACUGGCACUGCGACACUGGCCAGACACCUACGGGUGGCUGCAGUCGAGGAUCUUCGGCAAUGGGCGCAAGCCUGACCGAGCGACGCCGCGUGCGCGAUGAAGGCCUUCGGGUUGUAAAGCGCUGUCGAGGGGGAGGAAAGCCCGUAAGGGUCUGACCUAUCCCUGGAGGAAGGACGGGCUAAGUUCGU